rnacentral:rRNA from 1 species
UACAGAGGGGGCGAGCGUUGUUCGGAAUUACUGGGCGUAAAGGGCGCGUAGGCGGCCAACUAAGUCAGACGUGAAAUCCCUCGGCUCAACCGGGGAACUGCGUCUGAUACUGGAUGGCUUGAAUUCGGGAGAGGGAUGCGGAAUUCCAGGUGUAGCGGUGAAAUGCGUAGAGAUGUGGAGGAACACCAGUGGCGAAGGCGGCUCUUUGGGCAUUACCUGACGCUGAGGAGCGAAAGCGUGGGGAGCGAACAGG